ACAAGCUUUAUGGGGCCUUCCAUCUUUUGCUCAUGUGCAGAAGGCAAAGGGAGGUUUGCUGAUUAUUUAAAGGAGGUCAGGGUUUGACAUCAAUCUGUUCCCUCAUCCUGCCCUUGGAAUUCUCCUUUCCCAUUGCAAGCUAUCGGUUGGAGACAGACAGGUUUCAGGACCAGGCCUGGUGUGCUACCUGUGUGUAUGACCAGGAUAUAGCUGCAUCUCGGUUCCUGCAUGGAGAUUCCCAACCACUCCCUCACUACUGGCUGGAUUUCCUGGGCCGUGUGUUGGAGCAGAUGCAAACUACUUACACAAGAGGGCACAGACCUGGCUGGAUCUGGAUUCAGUGGGAGUGGGGCCACAGGGAGCAAAGCACCAGAUGCUGCCAGUGGCUCUCAGUGAGGAGCACUUCAUGCAAGUCCCACCUGUGUCCCUGUUCAGUGUCAUGAUCUAGGAAUGCAGCUAUUGCUCAGGCAGUUGCCAGCUGGCCACAGCAACUACAGGGCUGAUGUGCACCUACCAACCUCCGUGGAGAGGGGCCUGAAAGACACUAAGAGAAGCCUGAAGUUAUUGGGGUUUGCUACAGAUUUUGGACAUGCUUGCAACACAAGCAGUGGCUCUCCCUCUCUCUCUCCUUCUCCUGGCCUCUCUGUGGCACAUGAGAAAGGGCAGAGGGGUGAAAGAAAUGGGCUUGUCUGCAGAUAGGAGACUGUCUGCUGGACUGAGGCUGGAUCCCACAUGGAAGCCUUAACCUGAGUGGAAAAUGCCCACUUGAAUAGCAGCUGGAUCUGAACCCAUAAUUACCUCUGCCAUCACGUGUCUUUGCAGCUGUGUGCACAAACAAAUGACUUGUCCGUGUGCUGCUCGCUCCUCACACCACACACUCCUUGGUCUCUGUCUUUCAAAAAGAACAAAACACCUGGUCUGAUCCUCAUGGAGAGGAGUGGGGACCUCUGUAGGGACUUCCAGGACAGCUGUACCCUGAGUCACAAUCAGCCCCGUGGCAGAUAUCAAAUGCUGUUUUUCCCUAGCAGUCUGCUGAUGUUAUCACUGUUUCUUUGAGGAGUGAGAAACAACAAGAUCCUACAAUGACAAGCCACAAUGUCUCUUAUGGUACACAAAAACAGGUAAAAAACCCACCACCACCACCAAAAAACAAGAAGAAACCUUCCCAAAUAAUUGCCAAAAAAAGAGCAUUUCAUGUCCCUUGUGUUCUCAGUACCAAUCAUCUUACAGACAAUUAGCUCAUGAUCUGCCAAAGGGGAGAAGGGAUCAUCAUGAAAGACAGACAUAAAGCAGAUAGAAAAUCAGACCUGGAGAGGAGAACAGGACUGUUCAGGGGAAUCAUUACUCUUAUACUCAAAACUCUAAAUAAUAACCAUAUUUACUAAGCUUUCAGGCUCACAAUCCCUGGG
rnacentral:lncRNA from 1 species